AAAACAUGUUUGUUUGAAGGUUUAAAUAGUCUGUCCUGCUCACUGACAAUAUGUUUAAGAGCCGCGGUAAUUUGACCGUGCAAAGGUAGCAUAAUCAUUAGUUUUUUAAUUGGAAGCUUGUAUGAAGGGAUUGACAAAAGAAAUACUGUCUUUAUUAUAAUAGUUGAAGUUAACUUUUAAGUGAAAAGGCUUAAAUAGUUCAAAGGGACGAUAAGACCCUAUAAAGCUUUAUAUAAUUAAUAGAUUGAAGUUGAAUUUGGGCAUAAAUAUUAGAUUUUUUAUUGUAUUUUAUUGGGGCGAUAAAUAUAUAAUUAAUAUUAACUGUUUGGAAAUUAUACAUUUAUAAUUGAGUUAAAUUAGUUUAAUUGAUCCUUUAAUUAAAGAUUAAAAGAUUAAGUUACUUUAGGGAUAACAGCGUAAUUUUUUUUGAGAGUUCUUAUCGAAAAAAAAGAUUGCGACCUCGAUGUUGAAUUAAAAUAUCUAUAUGGAGCAGAAUUUAUAAUAGAAGGUCUGUUCGACCUUUAAAUUUUUACAUGA
rnacentral:rRNA from 1 species